UACGGAAGGGGCAAGCGUUGUUCGGAAUCAUUGGGCGUAAAGGGCGCGUAGGUGGCUGAGCAUGUCCGCUGUGAAAUUGCACAGCUCAACUGUGUUUAGUCGGCGGAAACUGCUUGACUUGAGGCUGGAAGGGGCUGGUGGAAUUCCCUGUGUAGCGGUGAAAUGCGUAGAGAUGGGGGAGAACACUCGUGGCGAAGGCAGCCAGCUGGGCCAGUCCUGACACUGAGGCGCGACAGCGUGGGGAGCAAACAGG
rnacentral:rRNA from 1 species